rnacentral:rRNA from 1 species
CGAACGCUGGCGGCGUGCCUAACACAUGCAAGUCGAACGAGGUCCAUCCCGUGGCAACACGGGUGAAGACCUAGUGGCGAACGGGUGAGUAACACGUGAGGAACCUGCCCCGAAGACCGGGAUAACCCUCCGAAAGGAGAGCUAAUACCGGAUGUCCCCACCUGGCCGCAUGACCGGGUGAGGAAAUGGAUUCCGCUUCGGGAGGGCCUCGCGGCCUAUCAGCUUGUUGGUGGGGUAACGGCCCACCAAGGCAUCGACGGGUAGCUGGUCUGAGAGGACGAUCAGCCACACUGGGACUGAGACACGGCCCAGACUCCUACGGGAGGCAGCAGUGGGGAAUCUUGCGCAAUGGGCGAAAGCCUGACGCAGCAACGCCGCGUGGGGGAUGAAGGCUCUCGGGUUGUAAACCCCUUUCAGCAGGGACGAAUCAAGACGGUACCUGCAGAAGAAGCCCCGGCUAACUACGUGCCAGCAGCCGCGGUAAUCUGAUGGCGCGAGG